UACGGGGGGGGCAAGCGUUGUUCGGAAUUACUGGGCGUAAAGGGCUCGUAGGCGGCCAACUAAGUCAGACGUGAAAUCCCUCAGCUUAACUGGGGAACUGCGUCUGAUACUGGUUGGCUUGAGUGCAGGAGAGGAACGCGGAAUUCCAGGUGUAGCGGUGAAAUGCGUAGAUAUCUGGAGGAACACCGGUGGCGAAGGCGGCGUUCUGGACUGCAACUGACACUGAGAAACGAAAGCCAGGGUAGCAAACGGG
rnacentral:rRNA from 1 species